AAAAACGCGAGGAUUGGGAGUAUUAAGGAGCCCCUGUUGUGUAGAGAGCUGUCGGUCGGUGAAAGGCAGUCAACAGAAUCCCCAACUUACCCAGGAGUGGUGAGGCUGAUAAGGCCUUAACGGAUGACAUCCGUAAUCAGUUGUUGAGUGGAUUUGCUUAUGCAAAUCAAGAAGAGUGGUACCACGUAGGUUCAGCCUAUCGUCUCUUAA
rnacentral:ncRNA from 1 species